GCUGUAUAAAAUACUCAACCUACACUCAAAUACUGAAUAAAUCAAAUUGAAUCUAAUGGGUCUAUUAAAAGUGUACUGUUAAUUCAUCAUUAUAUAAUUUAGAACAGCAGUAUCACUUCGACAGAAAAGAUAAAUACAACGUGUCCUAACAAAUAGCAAUAAGUGAUUAUAACAGGUACUUAGAAAAGGAAUAUUUAUUUAGAUCAAUAUCCAAUUAAGGGUCUGGGUAUUCAGAGCCUACACUUUGGCUUCCCUUUAAAUUAGGAAAGUAAAAGCUAUUAGCAAACCUUAUUAGUUUCAUGCUGGUCUCUUGAGAUUUUUUUUCCACCUGAAUACUUUGUGUCCCUUAAAAGAUAAUUCUAAACACAGUGUGAUAUUGAUUGUUUUAAGGCACUAAUGUGAACGGAUCAAACACAGUGAAAGAAAAUUUUACUGUAUGCAUAGUCAAAUUCAGGGUUAAGAUCUGUUAACAUCAGAAAUUAAUAAUUUCCUCUUAAAUAUAAAAUUAACAUCUAAUCAUUAACUCAGGAAGAGAAUGGAGCCCUACUUAUCUUUGUAAUCACACGGACUCUGGGUAACAAUGCAGUGAACUGUCUGCAGAAACAUCAGAAAAAAUACAAACUUCAAAGACUGAAGUUGGCAGGCAUAUUUUUCCCCAUUCUUUUCCUUCUAAGUGAGUGGCUAAUAGCAAUGCAAGACCAUGCAAGUUGAUUUACUUUAUGUACUGAAUCACACAAGAUGAGAAGUGAGACUAAGGUUUGUUUACUGAAACAGUGUGUCUGUAUAAAAGAUGGACAAAGCUGGCUGAUUCCCCCACCCUGUGAGCUGAAAGCCUUCUGUGUCUCUCCCGCCUUCCGUCAGCUAAUGAACGUCAAUUGACAUAAGUGGCACAGUGACAUCCACUAAUUAGACUAUCACUUAACUCGGGAAGUGUGACAGCAUGAACAUGUUUUGGAGAACAAUCAGAAUACUGUAAAAGCAAUAUUAAAAUUCCUGGCUUUCUACACAAUAUAUAUGUACAUUGCAUAUGUAUAUACACACAUACACAUAAGACAAAAUCAUUUCUAGUUUAAGACAGAAUUACUUUCAUUUCACAAUGAAAUUUUCAGAACUCAUCUUCAUGUUUCUCUAGUAACAGUGCUUCUUGAUGAAUACCAUGAGUGGCACAACAUUUAAGUUUCACAACUCUUGAUUUUCAUUCCCUUGAUAUCAGACAGUAUUCACUAUGGCAAUAACAUUACACAGUCACGUAAUCUCUGUAGAAGUAAAAAAUAAAAUAAAAUGAAAAUAAGUAUUUAGUAAAAAGAACUAAGUAAGAUAAAGAAUUAUUAAGAAGUUAGAGAAAUAAUAGCCCUAGACAAACUUAAGAGGAACAUGGUCAUCAUUUCCUUAAAUAGCCUCAAUAUUGUUUGUCUGCUGGUGUAUCUGCUUUUGAGAAAUUAGCAUUUGAAAUUUUCUUAUCAAGGUUUCUUUAGGGAGGUGUAAUUCAAGGCCUAUGAAAGGAACAGGAAAGUAAUCACUCACUCUUGAAAAGCGUGGGCUCACCUCUAAUCCCAUUCUUCUCCUCACUUCUGUAAAGCGUUAGUUCAAAGACAACUAUAUAGGUUUGAUUGUGUAUGUGUGUGUGUGUAUUUUGUAUACAGGAUAUAUACACACACACACACACACACAUAUAUAUAUGUAUAUAUACAUACCACCUUUUCAGAGCCGUUAUAAAUUAUAUUACAUUACAUCAGUCUUCUUUGAAGUUUCCAUCACAUAUGAAAUAGAUGCCUUCCGGUUACAGAAUAUCCAGGCUUAGACAAGUGACGUGCUUUGUGUUAUUCAUUUAUUUGUCCUACACUCACAAUAUUUUUACAUUAUUCUUCACUGGCAGUACCACAGGACUGUCAGCAGAAACCACCACGGUAGUGCAGUUUUCUGGUGUUUGUGCUAUAAUCAAAUUAACAGAGAUUCUAGCACCUAUUGAAGCACUCAGAAUAUCCGCAAUCAGUUCUCCAAAUGAUUUAAACAAGGAGAUAGUCUUAUUUGCACAUCAGCAAUUUCCACUCCAACAGAAACAAGACUGAAGCAAAAGAAAGAAUUCUUUCCAACAAUUGCCACUGUUCAUACUCGAAGGAUGUUUAUUACAAGGAAACGUGAAGUGUGUUAGUGAAAGGAUAUAGCUAAUGUGACAUUAAAGUAAAACCAGCAUGAUGACCUACUUUUGUUUCUGCUGAAUUAAGUUACAUUUUGUCUUGCCUUGAGAGACUGAAUAUCAUUAGUUAGAGUACCAGGCAUAUUACGCGCUUACCUUCAGUGACAGAUCAAAGCAGCGAGGUAAUCCAGGGACAACAGUGUUGAGCUGUAUGACAGUUGUGCACAGUGGAGUCCUGGGAGGAGGUCACUGCCUAUACAGAAUAAGCAAACAGUGUAAGUUGCUGGGAUAAGUAUCCUUGGGAAAUAUCCUGGGAUAUUUCAGUGUAAGUGCAAUCCAAGAUGCUGAAAUCAAUACAAAUGUGAAACCCAUUUCUAAUUUGCUGUGUUAUGAGAAACGGAUGAGUAAAAACAUAGCGUCUUUUUGAAAUGGACUAUUUUACCUACUUACUUGAAUAUAUAUGUGCAUCAUCAAUACAUUGACAUCAUAAUUCAUCAAAAGGUAUCUAUGGAUACUCCAAACAUUCCUACUUCAAAAGAUUUGUAGGAUCAGAAAACUCCAACAACCUUGAUUCUGAACCUUGGAUGGCCUUGAGCCAUUCACAGCUAUGAACUUAAUCUUUGCUGAAACAAAUGUUUGUAAAGUGAAGUGGAUGUGGAUAAGAUUAUGAAAGAGCAAACCUUAUUUUGUGAUGAGCCCAGAGUUCCUGACACUGCACAGCAUGGACACCGUGGUAUUUGUUAUUCACUAACCUUUCGUGCACUUUCUAGUGUAAAGGACAUAAAAUAUCAACCAAUGUAACUUCCUUUUUUUUGUAUCUCGUAUGACUGCAUCUGUCAAAAAAGCUAACUUACUGAUUAAUGAACUCCAAAGAUAAUCUGUGAAAUUGUGUUCAACUAUUGAUCAUUUUCUGACAUUUCCUGCUGCAAAUAAAGGUGUUUGCUCUUUUUUCCACACACAUUUUUCCUCCUCUAUAUAUAAGUACAGAGAAUCUUUCAGUACGUUUACAACAAAUGAAGUCAAAGACUUCACUUCUGGUAGAAAUGACAGAAAGACUCAAAUGUGAUGCCCACAUUACAGUGAAUAUACUUUCAGAAAACUGAGGUCAUUUUUCAUUAUUUGCACAAGUUGGGAUUAAGUCUCUAAAACCAACACACUAUUUCUUCAAACAAAUCACUGUAUACACCUGAUUAAAUCAGAGUACUUUACAUUAGAAGGCAAAUGUGUUUUAGUAAAACCCCA
ensembl:lncRNA